rnacentral:lncRNA from 1 species
UUAUCUUUUAUUUUGUUUGACGAUGAAUUUAUUCAAUUCAUCUCCUUUUUAAACUCUAUAUGAGUUAUUUAUAUUUUCAACGUUUCCCCCUGUUCUAAGGUUAUAGCCUAAGGUCUAACCCACCUAAGGUUUCUAACCCUAUAGCUCUGAUACCAUGAUGUAGAGUCCCCGAAUCCGGAUACUUGAAACCCAAACUCGGUACUUUACGAUACCAUUUCUAUGAGCGGAAUUAUACUAAUAAUAAUAACAAUAAUAUAAAUUUUAAACUUAACUUACAUUUAUCAGAG